GAUGAAGAACGUAGCGAAAUGCGAUACGUAAUGUGAAUUGCAGAAUUCAGUGAAUCAUCGAAUCUUUGAACGCACAUUGCGCCCGCCAGUAUUCUGGCGGGCAUGCCUGUUCGAGCGUCAUUUCAACCCUCAAGCACAGCUUGGUGUUGGGACUCGCGUUAAUUCGCGUUCCCCAAAUUGAUUGGCGGUCACGUCGAGCUUCCAUAGCGUAGUAGUAAAACCCUCGUUACUGGUAAUCGUCGCGGCCACGCCGUUAAACCCCAACUUCUGAAUGUUGACCUCGGAUCAGGUAGGAAUACCCGCUGAAUUUAAGCAUAUCAAUAAGCGGAGGA
rnacentral:misc_RNA from 1 species